GAUGAACGCUAGCUACAGGCUUAACACAUGCAAGUCGAGGGGCAGCAUGGUCUUAGCUUGCUAAGGCCGAUGGCGACCGGCGCACGGGUGAGUAACACGUAUCCAACCUGCCGUCUACUCUUGGACAGCCUUCUGAAAGGAAGAUUAAUACAAGAUGGCAUCAUGAGUCCACAUGUUCACAUGAUUAAAGGUAUUCCGGUAGACGAUGGGGAUGCGUUCCAUUAGAUAGUAGGCGGGGUAACGGCCCACCUAGUCUUCGAUGGAUAGGGGUUCUGAGAGGAAGGUCCCCCACAUUGGAACUGAGACACGGUCCAAACUCCUACGGGAGGCAGCAGUGAGGAAUAUUGGUCAAUGGGCGAGAGCCUGAACCAGCCAAGUAGCGUGAAGGAUGACUGCCCUAUGGGUUGUAAACUUCUUUUAUAAAGGAAUAAAGUCGGGUAUGGAUACCCGUUUGCAUGUACUUUAUGAAUAAGGAUCGGCUAACUCCGUGCCAGCAGCCGCGGUAAUACGGAGGAUCCGAGCGUUAUCCGGAUUUAUUGGGUUUAAAGGGAGCGUAGAUGGAUGUUUAAGUCAGUUGUGAAAGUUUGCGGCUCAACCGUAAAAUUGCAGUUGAUACUGGAUAUCUUGAGUGCAGUUGAGGCAGGCGGAAUUCGUGGUGUAGCGGUGAAAUGCUUAGAUAUCACGAAGAACUCCGAUUGCGAAGGCAGCCUGCUAAGCUGCAACUGACAUUGAGGCUCGAAAGUGUGGGUAUCAAACAGGAUUAGAUACCCUGGUAGUCCACACGGUAAACGAUGAAUACUCGCUGUUUGCGAUAUACAGCAAGCGGCCAAGCGAAAGCGUUAAGUAUUCCACCUGGGGAGUACGCCGGCAACGGUGAAACUCAAAGGAAUUGACGGGGGCCCGCACAAGCGGAGGAACAUGUGGUUUAAUUCGAUGAUACGCGAGGAACCUUACCCGGGCUUAAAUUGCAGAUGAAUUACGGUGAAAGCCGUAAGCCGCAAGGCAUCUGUGAAGGUGCUGCAUGGUUGUCGUCAGCUCGUGCCGUGAGGUGUCGGCUUAAGUGCCAUAACGAGCGCAACCCUUGUUGUCAGUUACUAACAGGUUCCGCUGAGGACUCUGACAAGACUGCCAUCGUAAGAUGUGAGGAAGGUGGGGAUGACGUCAAAUCAGCACGGCCCUUACGUCCGGGGCUACACACGUGUUACAAUGGGGGGUACAGAGGGCCGCUACCACGCGAGUGGAUGCCAAUCCCAAAAACCUCUCUCAGUUCGGACUGGAGUCUGCAACCCGACUCCACGAAGCUGGAUUCGCUAGUAAUCGCGCAUCAGCCACGGCGCGGUGAAUACGUUCCCGGGCCU
rnacentral:rRNA from 1 species